AUGCUCUCUAAGGGCUUUUACGAGAAGUAUGAAAGAUUGAUCCAAUAUUUCUGGUGGGGGGAUGAAGACGGACACCGCAAGGUACACUGGAUGUCAUGGGAACGGAUGAUCAAAUUGAAAAGAGUAGGCGGUAUUGGAUUCAGAGAGAUGCAUCUUUUCAACCAAACACACCUGGCCAAACAAGGAUGGAGACUACUCUAGAAUCCGGAUAUCCUUUGUGCGAGGGUCCUAAAAUCAAAAUAUUUCCCGAAUGGAAAUCUCUUGGACAUUGUUUUUGCUUCGGAUGCUUCGCCCGUAUGGAGAGCCAUCGAGUUUGGGCUUGAGCUCUUAAAGAAAGGCAUAAUAUGGAGGAUAUGGGACGGGAAAAACAUACAGAUACAGCGAGACCAAUUGAUCCCACAGAGAGAGGGCCUGAAGACGGUCACUUUUAUCCGGAGGUCACGGAUACGCUGGGUUAAUCAGCUUAUAUAUGCACCCGGACAGGAAAGAAUGGAGUGA
rnacentral:rRNA from 1 species